rnacentral:rRNA from 1 species
AUUGAACGCUGGCGGCAGGCCUAACACAUGCAAGUCGAACGAGUCGCGUACGUGUUAGUAAUGUCUGGGACUCUGCCCGAUGGAUGGCGAUCACUACUGGACACUGUUACUACUUCCGCAUUCCUUCGCCUGUGCCCAGAUGGGUGAGCUAGUAGGUGGGGUAAUGGCUUACCUAGGCGACGAUCCUUAGCUGGUCUGAGAGGAUGACCAGCCACACUGGAAAUGAGACACGGUCCAGACUCCUACGGGAGGCAGCAGUGGGGAAUAGUGCACAAUGGGCGAAAGCCUGAUGCAGCCAUGCCGCGUGUAUGAAGAAGGCCUUCGGGUUGUAAAGUACUUUAAGCGAGGAGGCGUUACUCGCAGAAGAAGCACCGGCUAACUCCGUGCCAGCCGCCGCGGUAAUAC